AAUAUUGCGCAAUGGGGGAAACCCUGACGCAGCGACGCCGCGUGAGCGACGAAGGCCUUCGGGUCGUAAAGCUCUGUCAUAAGGGACGAAGUCCCCUUUAUGGGGGUGACGGUACCUUAAGAGGAAGCCCCGGCUAACUACGUGCCAGCAGCCGCGGUAAUACGUAGGGGGCGAGCGUUGUCCGGGAUUACUGGGCGUAAAGGGCGUGUAGGCGGUCGGCUAAGUCAGGUGUGAAAGACCGGGGCUCAACUCCGGGGAUGCACUUGAAACUGGUCGACUUGAGGGCAAGAGAGGGAAGCGGAAUUCCCAGUGUAGCGGUGAAAUGCGUAGAUAUUGGGAGGGACACCAGUGGCGAAGGCGGCUUCCUGGCUUGGCCCUGACGCUGAGGCGCGAAAGCGUGGGGAGCAAACAGG
rnacentral:rRNA from 1 species